rnacentral:misc_RNA from 1 species
GCAUGUGGUAGCAGAAGUCGACGAGGAUUUUGGUAGCAGUCUUCUCUCUAUUCUCUUCCCUCCUAUUUUCCUAAUUUGCUCAAAUCCAGAGCUCAUAAUGUUCGGUGGUGGCGGCGCUCGUAUUUCCAACCAUUUGCGAGAGUUUAACUACCUCCACCACCAACCCAAGUUAGGGAUUUGCAGUACCAGAAUUGUCCAGCUCUCUUCUUUCAUCUUCACACCUUCCUCCGUUACUAUUAUCGCCGACAAUUGUAAUAAUCGUCAUUUUCGUCAUCGAUUGCAGCAGGGAAUGGUGUCUUCUUCCAGCCUCCAAUCCAAAUCCUCUGGUGAAAUCCCCAUUAUUCCUGAUCGUUUCAGGUUCUACUUCUAUUCUGUCCUGCUGCUUUUUGAAAAGCAUGGAAAUUUAUUGCUCUUUUAUAGUUUAGGUGCCUGUUUAAUCAAAUAAUUGGUAGGUUCCUAUUUGUGUUUGUGGUUUUUACUGUCUCUCUAAUACAUCUCAUGGAUGGUCAAGUAGCUGAUGAAUUUUCUUUGUGCAAAGCCUAGAAGAAGAUGAUCAUCAACUCCCAUCUGAAGGGUUGUCUCCUUUGGCAGGUUUCUUUUUUUAUUCUGUUUACCCUUUUGUUAUAUCUCACAGCUUAAUUUUUCUAUUUGCUACGCACACGUUUGUGACAUUGAUUACAAUAUUGCCAUAAAAGAUUAAGUCUUUUGCUCUUAUUUUUCCUCUUUAUUCUCUUUUCUUUUUUGGCAUACAAUCUCUUCUUGGAUAUUUUUGUUGUGGUAUCGUUUUUAACUUGAUGGAAUGCUUGUUUGGAUUAAGAUUUAAGAGCUUCUCUGUUGGAAUUUAGUGUUGAAUCUUUCUUUCUUUCUUCUUAUCUUUCUAGGGCUCCUAGAAUUCUUAAUAAUGAUUGUUUGGUCGCUGUUCUUGCAGGAGGAAUAGUAGCACUUGGAAAGUUUGAUGCUCUUCACAUUGGUCAUCGAGAACUUGCUAUUCAAGCAUCAAAAGUGGGAACUCCAUAUCUUUUAUCUUUUGUAGGAAUAGCAGAAGUACUUGGAUGGGAGCCUAGGGCUCCAGUGGUCGCUAAAUGUGAUCGGAGUAGGGUUCUUACCUCCUGGGCCCCAUACUGUGAUAAUGUUGCCCCAUCAGAGUUCGAUAUUGAUUUUUCAAGUGUUCGACAUCUCAACCCACGGCAGUUUGUUGAGAAGUUAUCUAAGGAGCUCAGAGUAUGUGGAGUGGUGGCGGGGGAAAACUACCGGUUUGGAUAUAAAGCUGCUGGUGAUGCAUCUGAGCUUUUGAGGCUGUGUGAAGAGUAUGGUAUGCGGGCUUACAUUAUAAAUUCUGUUAUGGACAAGAAUAAAGAUCCUGGAAACACUGACUCGAAUGAUCUAAAGGAUAGAGGACAAGUCUCAUCCACCCGUGUUCGCCAUGCUUUAGCUCUAGGUGAUAUGAAAUAUGUGUCAGAACUUCUAGGUCGUAGACAUCGUCUCAUGUUAAUGCUAAAAGAACAGAGAGGAUUUAUGAACACUAGUGGUAGAAGGAAGGCCUCAAUUCCAAAGUCUUGUUUAUUGAAUCUUCCACCAAAGGAUGGUUUCUACAAGAACUGUUUUCUUUUAUUUGGUGAUGAGAACCCAGUGAAAUGUAGUGUAUUCAUUGAUUCCACAUAUAUCCAUUUAGAAACAGAUGAGGUAGGUCUUAGUAAUUACAAUGGUUCUCAAGACUUCCAGCUCUUGGGUGUUGAAUUUGGUCUUUGAGGAACUCAUUGUACUUAAUUUAUUUGUUCUCAAUUUUGCUUUCAUUAAAUUGAAGCAGUUCAUGGCGAAGCUUCAUCAAUGCCUCAAAGAAUGAUGUACACGAGUUGAAGCUCAUAGUAAAUUGUACCUCAAUACAUAUUGAACUUUGUUAACUGUUUCUGUGAAUUGUUUUCAUUUAGAAGUGCAAGUCCCUACAAAAUACAGUUUCACAUAUAGGCUCUAUGACAUUAAUGUUGACAUGAGUUUUCUUUUGGUUCAACAAAUUUUCAGUCACUGUCUCACUGAUGAUGUUUUCUUAGUUACUUCUAUCCUACGCUUGAUUACAAGCCUUGGAAAAGUUUCACUGAGAACUUGUUGGCAGCUGGAAUGAUGGAAUGAAAAGCAGCUGGAGAUAUUGUGAAACCUGUGGUAACCAUAAGCAACACCAUUACUUAAUCCCUUCUAAUGUUUUCUCGUCAUUAGAGUUCUCUUGAGAUGCAAAUUUGUGUUUUUCCUAUUUAGUUUGGAACUGACAUUUUU